CCUACGGGGGGCAGCAGUAGGGAAUCUUCGGCAAUGGACGAAAGUCUGACCGAGCAACGCCGCGUGAGUGAAGAAGGUUUUCGGAUCGUAAAACUCUGUUGUUAGAGAAGAAUAAGGAUGAGAGUAACUGUUCAUCCCUUGACGGUAUCUAACCAGAAAGCCACGGCUAACUACGUGCCAGCAGCCGCGGUAAUACGUAGGUGGCAAGCGUUGUCCGGAUUUAUUGGGCGUAAAGCGAGCGCAGGCGGUUUCUUAAGUCUGAUGUGAAAGCCCCCGGCUCAACCGGGGAGGGUCACUGGAAACUGGGAGACUUGAGUGCAGAAGAGGAGAGUGGAAUUCCAUGUGUAGCGGUGAAAUGCGUAGAUAUAUGGAGGAACACCAGUGGCGAAGGCGGCUCUCUGGUCUGCAACUGACGCUGAGGCUCGAAAGCGUGGGGAGCAAACAGGAUUAGAUACCCCGGUAGUC
rnacentral:rRNA from 1 species